rnacentral:rRNA from 1 species
GAUGAACGCUGGCGGCGUGCUUAACACAUGCAAGUCGAACGGAAAGGCCCUGCUUUUGUGGGGUGCUCGAGUGGCGAACGGGUGAGUAACACGUGAGUAACCUGCCCUUGACUUUGGGAUAACUUGAGGAAACUGGGGCUAAUACCGGAUAGGAGCUCCUGCUGCAUGGUGGGGGUUGGAAAGUUUCGGCGGUUGGGGAUGGUCUGGCGGCUUAUGAGCUUGUUGGUGGAGGAGUUGCUUACCAAGGCUUUGACGGGUAGGCGGCAUGGGAGGUUGGCCGGGCACAUUGGGCCUGAGGUACGGACCAGUCUCGAACGGUAGGCAGCAGUGGGGAAUAUUGCACAGUGGGGGGACGCGUGAGGCGACGGCGCCGGGUGCGGGAUGACGUCUUUUGCGUUGAGAACCGCUUUGGACUGAGACGAAGCGUGAGUGACGGUAAUGGGUAAAGAAGCACCGGCUAACUACGUG